GCCAGUGUGAUGUAGUGGUUUGAGCGUUGGACUAUGACUCUGCAGACCUAGGUUGAAAUCCUGGCUCAGCCA